rnacentral:misc_RNA from 1 species
GAUGAAGAACGAAGCGAAAUGCGAUAAGUAGUGUGAAUUGCAGAAUUCAGUGAAUCAUCGAAUCUUUGAACGCACAUUGCGCCCCUUGGUAUUCCAUGGGGCAUGCCUGUUCGAGCGUCAUUUGUACCCUCAAGCUUUGCUUGGUGUUGGGCGUCUUGUCGUAUUACGACUCGCCUUAAAUACAUUGGCAGCCGGCACUUUGGCCUAGGAGCGCAGCACAUUUUGCGAUCGUAGCCCGUUGUACUGGCGUCCAUCAAGAACAUUUACCACGUUUGACCUCGGAUCAGGUAGGGAUACCCGCUGAACUUAAGCAUAUCAAUAAGCGGAGGA